rnacentral:lncRNA from 1 species
UGCUCCACGGGGCCGUAGGGCAGGUACUUGCUCACCUGGAACCCGGCGUUGCGGAGCCCCAGGGACAGCCCGUCCGCCAUGCCCAUCAGCUGCGCGAACUGCAGGUUCCGGUCGCCCUUGCCGAUGCCAAGCUCCUGCGCCCUCGCCGCCGCCAGCUGCCCGGACUCCACGUUGUGGGUGGCCAGCAUCACGGAGGCCGACCCGCGGCGGACGCGCUCCAGGAGGAAGGCCGCGCAGCCGUUGUAGCAGUCGUGGGUGUCCUGGAUGCUGCCGUGGAUCGGCGACGGCACGCCCAGCGACUCCGCCAGCCGGGCCUCCCUGGUGAGGUAGGCUCCGCGGAC